CGUAGGGGCCGAGCGUUGUCCGGAGUUAUUGGGCGUAAAGCGCGCGCAGGCGGCUUGGCGCGCCCGACGUGAAAGCCCCCGGCUUAACCGGGGAGAGUCGUCGGGGACGGCCGGGCUUGAGGGCGGGAGAGGGUGGUGGAAUUCCCGGUGUAGUGGUGAAAUGCGUAGAGAUCGGGAGGAACACCUGUGGCGAAGGCGGCCACCUGGGCCGACCCUGACGCUGAGGCGCGAAGGCGUGGGGAGCGAACGGG
rnacentral:rRNA from 1 species